UACGGAGGGUGCAAGCGUUAUCCGGAUUCACUGGGCUUAAAGGGUGCGUAGGUGGGCAAGUAAGUCAGUGGUGAAAUCUCCGGGCUUAACCCGGAAACUGCCAUUGAUACUAUUUGUCUUGAAUACUGUGGAGGUCAGCGGAAUAUGUCAUGUAGCGGUGAAAUGCUUAGAUAUGACAUAGAACACCAAUUGCGAAGGCAGCUGGCUACACAAAUAUUGACACUGAGGCACGAAAGCGUGGGGAUCGAACAGG
rnacentral:rRNA from 1 species